rnacentral:rRNA from 1 species
GAUUGAACGCUGGCGGCAGGCCUAACACAUGCAAGUCGGACGGUAGCACAGAGGAGCUUGCUCCUCGGGUGACGAGUGGCGGACGGGUGAGUAAUGUCUGGGAAACUGCCCGAUGGAGGGGGAUAACUACUGGAAACGGUAGCUAAUACCGCAUAACGUCGCAAGACCAAAGUGGGGGACCUUCGGGCCUCACACCAUCGGAUGUGCCCAGAUGGGAUUAGCUGGUAGGCGGGGUAACGGCCCACCUAGGCGACGAUCCCUAGCUGGUCUGAGAGGAUGACCAGCCACACUGGAACUGAGACACGGUCCAGACUCCUACGGGAGGCAGCAGUGGGGAAUAUUGCACAAUGGGCGCAAGCCUGAUGCAGCCAUGCCGCGUGUAUGAAGAAGGCCUUCGGGUUGUAAAGUACUUUCAGCGGGGAGGAAGGUGUUGAGGUUAAUAACCUCAGCAAUUGACGUUACCCGCAGAAGAAGCACCGGCUAACUCCGUGCCAGCAGCCGCGGUAAUACGGAGGGUGCAAGCGUUAAUCGGAAUUACUGGGCGUAAAGCGCACGCAGGCGGUCUGUUAAAGUCAGAUGUGGAAAUCCCCGGGGCUUAACCUGGGAACUGCAUUUGAAACUGGCAGGCUUUGAGUCUCGUAGAGGGGGGGUAGAAUUCCAGGUGUAGCGGUGAAAUGCGUAGAAGAUCUGGAGGAAUACUGGGGGGAAGGGUGGCCCCCUGGGACGAAGGACUGACGUCUCAGUUGCGAUAGCGUGGGGGAGCAAACAGGGAUUAGAUUCCCUGGUAGUCCACCCGUAAACGAUGUGGACUUGGAGGUUGUUGCCUUGGGAGGGCUUCCGGAACUAACGCGUUAAGUCGACCGCCUGGAGAGUACGGCCGCAAGGUUAAAACUCAAAUGAAUUGACGGGGGCCCGCACAAGCGGUGGAGCAUGUGGUUUAAUUCGAUGCAACGCGAAGAACCUUACCUACUCUUGACAUCCAGCGAACUUUCCAGAGAUGGAUUGGUGCCUUCGGGAACGCUGAGACAGGUGCUGCAUGGCUGUCGUCAGCUCGUGUUGUGAAAUGUUGGGUUAAGUCCCGCAACGAGCGCAACCCUUAUCCUUUGUUGCCAGCGAUUCGGUCGGGAACUCAAAGGAGAAUGCCGGUGAUAAACCGGAGGAAGGUGGGGAUGACGUCAAGUCAUCAUGGCCCUUACGAGUAGGGCUACACACGUGCUACAAUGGCGCAUACAAAGAGAAGCGACCUCGCGAGAGCAAGCGGACCUCAUAAAGUGCGUCGUAGUCCGGAUCGGAGUCUGCAACUCGACUCCGUGAAGUCGGAAUCGCUAGUAAUCGUGGAUCAGAAUGCCACGGUGAAUACGUUCCCGGGCCUUGUACUCACCGCC